rnacentral:rRNA from 1 species
UCACGCCGUAAACGAUGAAUACUAGGUGUCGGGGAACAAUAGUUCUUCGGUGCCGCAGCAAACGCAUUAAGUAUUCCACCUGGGGAGUACGUUCGCAAGAAUGAAACUCAAAGGAAUUGACGGGGACCCGCACAAGCGGUGGAGCAUGUGGUUUAAUUCGAUGCAACGCGAAGAACCUUACCUGCUCUUGACAUCCCACUGACCGGACAGUAAUGUGUCCUUUUCUUCGGAACAGUGGUGACAGGUGGUGCAUGGUUGUCGUCAGCUCGUGUCGUGAGAUGUUGGGUUAAGUCCCGCAACGAGCGCAACCCUUGUCUUUAGUAGCCAGCAGUUCGGCUGGGCACUCUAGAGAGACUGCCAGGGAUAACCUGGAGGAAGGCGGGGAUGACGUCAAAUCAUCAUGCCCCUUACGAGCAGGGCUACACACAUGCUACAAUGGCGUAAACAAAGGGAAGCGACCCCGCGAGGGUAAGCAAAUCUCAAAAAUAACGUCUCAGUUCGGAUUGUAGUCUGCAACUCGACUACAUGAAGCUGGAAUCGCUAGUAAUCGCGAAUCAGAAUGUCGCGGUGAAUACGUUCCCGGGUCUUGUACACACCGCCCGUCACACCAUGGGAGUCGGAUAUGCCCGAAGUCAGUGACCCAACCAUAUGGAGGGAGCUGCCGAAGGUGGAGCCGAUAACUGGGGUGAAGUCGUAACAAGGUAGCCGUAUCGGAAGGUGCGGUUGGAUCACCUC